GGGCGGCAGAGCACCAAGUAAGUGGGUUGGGGGUUGUGAUGUCAAGGGUCCCUGGACCCAAGUUUCCAGGAUUCAGAGCACUUUUCAGCCAGCUAGAGGCAGCCAGACUAUGUGGGGUGGGGUUUCGGGGGGCAGCUAGAAGGCCAUAGAGCCAAGUGGACUGGAGGUGGGUAGACUGGCCUCCGAACUUGGCUUUACCAUAACUUUGGACAGACCGGCUUGGGUUUCAAGUGCAAGGACUGGCAAGAGGACUCUGGUACGACCAGAGGCCCAGUUUUGUUUUGUUUUUUUUUUUUCACCCUUAGCCAUGGAAAAGCCAGCUGUCUGGUCCCUGUAGGCCUGCACCUUGCAAGGAUAAAGGUUGGGGUCAGAAGAUCCUGAAGUACAGGGAACCCAUCGCAGAUGCUUCGCCAUCCUGGGCGCGUCUCUCUGGAGAUGCUGUCUCAGCCCUGGGGUUUGCUCCAAACCAAUUUCACGCCUCCGUGAGGACUCCGCCCUGCACUGGAGGCGCGGACCUCCCUACUACCAACCUACGCGCCUGUGAACGGGUGGGCUCACACAUACCACACUCAUUCAACACAACUAAUACACCGAGUUUGAUAAUCCUGUCACAAUAAAGUUGCACAUGCCUACAUGCAUGCACACUAGACUUCAAGACAUUCCUGUACAAUCCCCACGCCGAACCUCUCACAGUGGAGUAAGAAGCACUCUGAAGCUUGGACCUCUUGCCUGAUUCCAGUUCCUCGGCCCUUGGCACCUCUCCCGACUAACGCCAGGGGGAGCUGCGGCACUCCAUGCCUCCCUCGCGUAACUGUAGUUGCGUUCUAGUGCCACCAGAGGGUACCCGCGGACAGAAGCCGAAGAGGCCCACAGUGGGAGGAUACUCCAGCCUGAAUCAGAGACGUGGACCUGUUGGCUUUAGAACACUUUGCUCAUUCUUUGUGGCUAGGUGUAACUGCCAGCACAUGAAGGAGAGACCAGAAGAUGAGGCCUGACAUAGGACCAAGCAAAAAGGUUAAAAAUG
rnacentral:lncRNA from 1 species